rnacentral:tRNA from 1 species
AUUCAUAUAGUUUAAUUAUAAAACAUUUUAUUUUCAAUAAAAAAAAAGUCUCCCAACUUAUGGAUU